rnacentral:tRNA from 1 species
ACCGUAGUGCAAAGGUAAGCAUGUCCGCCUAUGAUGCUGAAAUCCUGGGUUCGAAACCUGGCGGU